UACGUAGGGACCAAGCGUUGUUCGGAUUUACUGGGCGUAAAGGGCGCGUAGGCGGCGCGGUAAGUCACUUGUGAAAUCUCUGAGCUUAACUCAGAACGGCCAAGUGAUACUGCAGUGCUAGAGUGUGGAAGGGGCAAUCGGAAUUCUUGGUGUAGCGGUGAAAUGCGUAGAUAUCAAGAGGAACACCAGUGGCGAAGGCGGCCAACUGGUCCGAUACUGACGCUGAGGCGCGAAAGCGUGGGGAGCAAACAGG
rnacentral:rRNA from 1 species